UGCCCAUAAGACUGGGAUAACUCCGGGAAACCGGGGCUAAUACCGGAUAACAUUUUGAACCGCAUGGUUCGAAAUUGAAAGGCGGCUUCGGCUGUCACUUAUGGAUGGACCCGCGUCGCAUUAGCUAGUUGGUGAGGUAACGGCUCACCAAGGCAACGAUGCGUAGCCGACCUGAGAGGGUGAUCGGCCACACUGGGACUGAGACACGGCCCAGACUCCUACGGGAGGCAGCAGUAGGG
rnacentral:rRNA from 1 species